rnacentral:rRNA from 1 species
UUCUUAAAAAUUAAAAAUUUUGGCGGUAUAUUAGUCUUUUCAGAGGAACCUGUUUCUUAAUUGAUAGUCCACGAUUUUUUUUACUUCAUUUUUUAUUUUGUAUAUCGUUGUGUAUAGAAUAUUUUAAUAUUAAAUAUUUUCAGAUCAAGGUGCAGUUUAUAGUGAAGUUGAAGUGGGUUACAAUAAAAAUUUAAUUUUACAUGAUUUGUUAGUAAGCUCUAAAAUAUGUACAUAUUGCCCGUCGCUUUCGUUAUAAAAUGGAAUAAGUCGUAACAUAGUAGAUUUAUUGGAAAUUGAAUCUAGAAUGCAAAUUAGAGCUUUAUAAGUAUUUUAUUUACAUUAAAAGGUUAAUUGUGAAAUUCAAUUUAAUUUGAUUAGUUUCUUUUAUUAGUUAAAGGGGUUUAUUAUUUUUAAUUGAAAUAUUAUAAAUUUUUAUUAUUUUUUUGAAAAAAUAUAAUUAUAGAGAAUAAGUAUUGUAAGAGAAUAAUUGAAUAAAUUUUUAAGAAGAUUUUAUUUAUUGUACCUUGGGUAUCAGGGUUUAUUAAUUUUUUUUUCUCGAAUUAAAAAGAGUUAAUUUUAAUGUUUAAUAAUUAUUUAUAAUAUUUAUUUAGUAAUGAAAUGUUAAUCGUUUUUUAAUAUAUCUAGUUUCUUAAGAAAUAAAUUUAAUUAGGAUUUAGUUUAAUAUUUAAAUAGGGGAAAAGCUUUUGAUUAAAUUUUUAUAAUUGAUUUUGUUUUGGUAGUUUAUAUGAUUAGAAUUUUUUUUUUAUAGGAGAAUGUUAUAAUUCAUUUAUUUAAAUUUUUAUUAAGAAAUUAAUAAUAAUCUUUAUUAUUAAGCUAUAAUGAUUAAAUUAGUAAAUUUAAUAUAAGGAAUUCGGCAAAUUAUUUUUUUACCUGUUUAUUAAAAACAUGUCCUUUUGUGUAUAAUUUAAGGUCUGACCUGCCCAAUGAUUUAAUGGCCGCAGUAUAUUAACUGUGCAAAGGUAGCAUAAUCAUUAGUUUUUUAAUUGAAAGCUUGUAUGAAGGGUUUGAUAAAAAAUAUUCUGUCUCUAGAAUUUUAUUUUUAAGUUAAAAAGCUUAAA